GUAUUAACUAAGCACCCACUUCCUUUAUAACACUCCAAUUUCCCAUUUUAUACUUCUCUUCUUCCAUUUCUUCCAAACUACUCUGCUAUUGGCUCAAAAUAUCCUUUUCCACCUCUGCAAUCUCCGUCUCCUUCAAUUUCAACUCAAGCAAAUCCACCUCUUUAACCAGUUUCAUCGCUUUCAGUACCAUCAAUUGCUUGAUCAAUUUUUUGAAUUGAGUUACAAUGGAGUUCUUACUGUAGAAGACGAUGAAGAAGGAAGGGAAUUCGAAUGGAACAGAACGUGCAUGACUUCAGUGAUUUUUUUCCUUUUUUUUCUAACCGAAAUUAACGCCCUUUUCUUUCUUAAACUAUCAAAAUGUAUAAAAAAAAAAAAUGACAAGCGAAUAUACAGAAAGACAAGUCCAUAGCAAACUUUAAUUUUGCUACGGACUGUAAUUUUACAAAGUUUGCUAUAGCAUACAAUUAGCAAUUUUUUAUUUGCUAUAUGUAAAAUUUUCUCAAAAAAGUAUGUGGUUAACGGGUCAAGUUUAGGUUUGAAUGCAAUCGGCCCACCGACCUUCUACUGACGCAUGCCAAGACGUAAGCCCAUAUAAGGCGGCCCAAUCAAUUCAUUCAUCUAUUAAAGAACGUUAAAUUAAGGUUUUCUUAUAAUUUCUUCUUUCUCAAGCCGCCGCCGAACAAUUCCACACACAGAAUUAGCGAUGGGGCGAAGCUUGAACCUAAUGGAAUACGGAGUAUCCUAAGUGGAGGUGGUAUUGAAUACUUGAGUGUGUCUAACUUGACCUGGUGCACUCGUGUGAAUGGUCUGGUAGCUAUUAGCGUCGGAUUUGCUGCAAAGUUAAGAGUGUUGAAUUUCCGCUCCAGCAGAACGAUUGGCGAUGAUUGUAUUAUGACAAUAGCAAAGGGUUGUCCAUCGCUUCAGGAAUGGAACUUAGCAAUAUGUCAUGAGGUCAAGAUAGCAGGUUUGGGAAUCUAUUGCAUCACAUUGUCAUAACUUGAAAACACUACAUGUGAAUCGGUGUAGAAAUCUUUGUGACCGUGGACUGCAGGCAUUGAGAAACGGAUGCAAACGUCUCUCAAUUCUUUACAUCACCAGAAGUUCUCAGAUCAGUGGUGUAGCGUUGGAAAUUUUUAAACUUGCUAGAGGUAAUGUAGAGGUCAAAGAAGAAGUAAUGUGUAUUUGCCCUCAUUGAGCGUUCAGGUUUUAAUAGGUGGCGAUAAUCUUCAGUUCUUAAGCUGUCAGGUCUCAGCAGACAUUCUGAUUUUACAGACUCGUGAGGAGAAACUAUCAUCCCAGUCAAUCCAAUUCGGAUUCCCUGGAACUGACGUGUUACUCACCCGUCCACCACUGGAAACAUUGUUUCCUGUCCAACUUGAUGGAAAUGCACGACAGUUGUGCCCACUGCACACUAGUAUCAAGCUGCGUAUAAUUUCUUGUAAUGUUUUCUUCCCAUAAGAAAAAAAGUGAUUCUAAUAAAUGCAUGUACAUACAAAUGAAACAGUUGCUUGGUGCAAAUUGCAGAACCCACACUCAGAGGUGUAGCUCUUCAUGUGGCAUGUAGGCCACAAUGCAGAACAAUUGUUUGAUGCAUGAUAAA